rnacentral:rRNA from 1 species
CUACGGGGCGCAGCAGUGAGGAAUAUUGCACAAUGGGGGGAACCCUGAUGCAGCAACGCCGCGUGGAGGAUGACGCAUUUCGGUGUGUAAACUCCUUUUAUAUGUCAAGAAAAUGACGGUAGCAUAUGAAUAAGCACCGGCUAACUCCGUGCCAGCAGCCGCGGUAAUACGGAGGGUGCAAGCGUUACUCGGAAUCACUGGGCGUAAAGGACGCGUAGGCGGGUUGGAAAGUCAGGUGUGAAAUCCUACAGCUUAACUGUAGAACUGCACUUGAAACUUCUAAUCUAGAGUAUGGGAGGGGGAGAUAGAAUUGGUGGUGUAGGGGUAAAAUCCGUAGAUAUCACUAGGAAUACCUAAAGCGAAGGCGAUCUCCUGGAACAUUACUGACGCUAAGGCGUGAAAGCGUGGGGAGCAAACAGGAUUAGAUACCCGUGUAGUC